rnacentral:rRNA from 1 species
GGAUGAACGCUAGCGGGAGGCUUAACACAUGCAAGUCGAGGGGGAGGGCAGCAAUGCCCGAGACCGGCGCACGGGUGAGUAACGCGUAUGCAACCUACCUUCUACAGGGGGAUAGCCCAGGGAAACUUGGAUUAAUACCGCAUAGUUCCCAGAACCUGCAUAGGCUUUGGGAUAAAGAUUUAUCGGUAGAAGAUGGGCAUGCGUGACAUUAGGUAGUUGGCGGGGUAACGGCCCACCAAGCCGACGAUGUCUAGGGGUUCUGAGAGGAUGAUCCCCCACACUGGUACUGAGACACGGACCAGACUCCUACGGGAGGCAGCAGUGAGGAAUAUUGGUCAAUGGGCGCAAGCCUGAACCAGCCAUCCCGCGUGAAGGAUGAAGGCCCUAUGGGUCGUAAACUUCUUUUAUAUGCCAAGAAAGGUGCCCACGCGUGGGUAUUUGACGGUAGUAUAUGAAUAAGCAUCGGCUAACUCCGUGCCAGCAGCCGCGGUAAUACGGAGGAUGCGAGCGUUAUCCGGAUUCAUUGGGUUUAAAGGGUGCGUAGGCGGUUCUUUAAGUCAGUGGUGAAAUCCUGCGGCUCAACCGUAGAACAGCCAUUGAUACUGAAGGACUUGAAUAUAAUUGAGGUAAGCGGAAUGAGUAGUGUAGCGGUGAAAUGCUUAGAUAUUACUCAGAACACCAAUUGCGAAGGCAGCUUACCAAGCUAUAAUUGACGCUGAGGCACGAAAGCGUGGGGAUCGAACAGGAUUAGAUACCCUGGUAGUCCACGCCGUAAACGAUGUUCACUCGCUGUUUGCGAUAUACAGUAAGCGGCCAAGCGAAAGCAUUAAGUGAACCACCUGGGGAGUACGUCGGCAACGGUGAAACUCAAAGGAAUUGACGGGGGCCCGCACAAGCGGAGGAACAUGUGGUUUAAUUCGAGGCAACGCGAAGAACCUUAUCCUGGGUUUGACAUGCAGGGAUUAACUCUAUGAAAGUAGAGCCACGCCUUCGGGUGGAACCUGCACAGGUGCUGCAUGGCUGUCGUCAGCUCGUGUCGUGAGAUGUCGCGUUAAGUCGCUGAACGAGCGAAACCCUUGUCCUUAGUUGCCAGCGGGUCAUGCCGGGGACUCUAAGGAGACCGCCGGUGUCAAACCGGAGGAAGGUGGGGACGACGUCAAGUCAUCAUGGCCUUUAUGCCCAGGGCUGCACACGUGCUACAAUGGUACGUACAAAGGGAAGCGAACCCGCGAGGGCAAGCAAACCUCAAAAAGCGUAUCUUAGUUCGGAUUGCAGGCUGCAACUCGCCUGCAUGAAGCCGGAAUCGCUAGUAAUCGCAGGUCAGCUAUACUGCGGUGAAUGUGUUCCUGAGCCU